ACGGAAGGCAGCAGUGAGGAAUAUUGGUCAAUGGGCGGAAGCCUGAACCAGCCAAGUCGCGUGAAGGAUGAAGGUAUUAUGUAUUGUAAACUUCUUUAGUCGUAGAGAAAUAAGGUGCUCGUGAGCACUGAUGCUAGUAUACGAAGAAUAAGGAUCGGCUAACUCCGUGCCAGCAGCCGCGGUAAUACGGAGGAUCCGAGCGUUAUCCGGAUUUAUUGGGUUUAAAGGGUGCGCAGGCGGCUUUUUAAGUCAGUGGUAAAAUCGUGGGGCUCAACCCCAUCCCGCCAUUGAUACUGGAGAGCUUGAUUGCGGUCGAGGUUGGCGGAAUUCGUCGUGUAGCGGUGAAAUGCAUAGAUAUGACGAAGAACACCGAUUGCGUAGGCAGCUGACCAGGCCGUAAAUGACGCUCAUGCACGAAAGUGCGGGGAUCGAACAGGAUUAGAUACCCUGGUA
rnacentral:rRNA from 1 species